GCGAGGCCGCUGGUCGGUCGCGAUCAGCGGCCUCGCCUUCCCAAGCUGAUAACGCGGGUUCGAUUCCCGUCAUCCGCU
rnacentral:tRNA from 1 species